GAAUCACAAAGCUCCAUUGUGAUUUCACAGGGCCCGAUUAUGAAAUCUCAAUGCUCCAUUAUGCUGUCACAGACCCCACUGUGACGUCACAGAGCCCCCUUGUGACCUCACAGAGUUGCCAUGAUGGAAUCACUGUGCCCCAUUCUGACGUCACAGAGCCGCAUUGUGACGUCACAGAGCCCCAGUAUGGAAUCACAAUGCUCCAUUGAGAUGUCGCAGACCCCAUGGGGAUUUCACAGAGCCCUCUUGUGACGCUUCCCUCUUGUGUGCUUCCAAGGCAUUUGCCGUCAUCAGGUACGGCUUUUGGUUUCGGAAACUCU
rnacentral:lncRNA from 7 species